AUGAACGCUAGCGACAGGCUUAACACAUGCAAGUCGAGGGGCAGCACAGGUAGCAAUACCGGGUGGCGACCGGCGCACGGGUGAGUAACGCGUAUGCAACUUACCUAUCAGAGGGGGAUAACCCGGCGAAAGUCGGACUAAUACCGCAUGAAGCAGGGGCCCCGCAUGGGGAUAUUUGCUAAAGAUUCAUCGCUGAUAGAUAGGCAUGCGUUCCAUUAGGCAGUUGGCGGGGUAACGGCCCACCAAACCGACGAUGGAUAGGGGUUCUGAGAGGAAGGUCCCCCACAUUGGUACUGAGACACGGACCAAACUCCUACGGGAGGCAGCAGUGAGGAAUAUUGGUCAAUGGCCGAGAGGCUGAACCAGCCAAGUCGCGUGAGGGAUGAAGGUUCUAUGGAUCGUAAACCUCUUUUAUAAGGGAAUAAAGUGCGGGACGUGUCCCGUUUUGUAUGUACCUUGUGAAUAAGGAUCGGCUAACUCCGUGCCAGCAGCCGCGGUAAUACGGAGGAUCCGAGCGUUAUCCGGAUUUAUUGGGUUUAAAGGGUGCGUAGGCGGCCUUUUAAGUCAGCGGUGAAAGUCUGUGGCUCAACCAUAGAAUUGCCGUUGAAACUGGGGGGCUUGAGUAUGUUUGAGGCAGGCGGAAUGCGUGGUGUAGCGGUGAAAUGCAUAGAUAUCACGCAGAACCCCGAUUGCGAAGGCAGCCUGCCAAGCCAUGACUGACGCUGAUGCACGAAAGCGUGGGGAUCAAACAGGAUUAGAUACCCUGGUAGUCCACGCAGUAAACGAUGAUCACUAGCUGUUUGCGAUACACUGUAAGCGGCACAGCGAAAGCGUUAAGUGAUCCACCUGGGGAGUACGCCGGCAACGGUGAAACUCAAAGGAAUUGACGGGGGCCCGCACAAGCGGAGGAACAUGUGGUUUAAUUCGAUGAUACGCGAGGAACCUUACCCGGGUUUGAACGCAUUCGGACCGAGGUGGAAACACCUUUUCUAGCAAUAGCCGUUUGCGAGGUGCUGCAUGGUUGUCGUCAGCUCGUGCCGUGAGGUGUCGGCUUAAGUGCCAUAACGAGCGCAACCCUUGCCACUAGUUACUAACAGGUGAUGCUGAGGACUCUGGUGGGACUGCCAGCGUAAGCUGCGAGGAAGGCGGGGAUGACGUCAAAUCAGCACGGCCCUUACAUCCGGGGCGACACACGUGUUACAAUGGCGUGGACAAAGGGAGGCCACCUGGCGACAGGGAGCGAAUCCCCAAACCACGUCUCAGUUCGGAUCGGAGUCUGCAACCCGACUCCGUGAAGCUGGAUUCGCUAGUAAUCGCGCAUCAGCCAUGGCGCGGUGAAUACGUUCCCGGGCCUUGUACACACCGCCCGUCAAGCCAUGGGAGCCGGGGGUACCUGAAGUCCGUAACCGCGAGGAUCGGCCUAGGGUAAAACUGGUGACUGGGGCU
rnacentral:rRNA from 1 species